AGGAGAGGCAAGACUCAAGAAGCCUUUGUGCUGAAGGGCUAGUGUUAAGGAGGAAACACUGGAGGAGAGAGAAUCACCUUGGGAAAAAGGCAGCCCUGCAACUCUGAUGUUGAUGUUCCUACUUGCACAUGAUGUUCACUCUGGGCCAAAUCAAUCUGUGGCAUAGCCGGAUUGACUUCAGUAGUUACACCAGGGCUGGCUCGUGUCUGCACCAGGCAACUCUCUGCUGUGCUGAGCUUCUGGAGACUUGUUGUGCUAUGUCAUGAGGGACCAUUUGAACUCUUCAGCCACACCCCAUGCCCUCCAAUAACAGCAGCUGCUCCAUUCAGAAGGGCAUCUUAAAUUAGGAUGGCUCAAGACUUUCCCACGGGUGCCAUGAUGGUAUGGAGGAGAUCUACCUUCCAGGCCCCAGAUUGACCUCACCUGAAUCCCACAGCAUCAGGACCAGAGCCCAAGAAACUUUCCAGAGACGCGCAUCUUUUAUGGAGCGUGGCUCAGCUGCAAUCACAGUCAUCUGAAUGUUGUCCUCAGACAGUUUCCGCUCACCCCAGCUUGCCUGCAAGUGUGAAUAAAUCCUUGUUGAAUCAAUCUCGCUCUCUCACACACACACACCGCACACACAGAGUGCCUCUUGUGCAGGGUCUGCUUUUUAAUCUCCCGUGGCUCCUCUCUCUUAUUUCACUCACUUUUAUGCUCCAGUGCAAGGAGUAAAAUGCUCCAUAAAAGCUUCACUGCACGGCCUGUGUUCACCAUUGUCAAGCUCCAGAACUGGGGAUGUAAAAGUUAGGCAAUGGAAAAAUCAAUCAAUCAAUCAUGAUGGGAUUUAUAUAGCUCCCUGUGUGCGAAAGCCCAACACGCACUCUACAUUUUAAUCAGUGCAGAACCAUAUCAAAACUCCUUCAAAACAUAGAAAAGACCAACCAAACCCACAGCGGU